CCCAAGGACUGGCGCGGAAAGGGCCCACAGUGGACGCUUGUGCACUGUAUGCCCUAACCGCUCAGCCCCUGGG
rnacentral:pre_miRNA from 17 species